GAUGAACGCUGGCGGCGUGCCUAAUACAUGCAAGUCGAGCGAACAGACGAGGAGCUUGCUCCUCUGACGUUAGCGGCGGACGGGUGAGUAACACGUGGAUAACCUACCUAUAAGACUGGGAUAACUUCGGGAAACCGGAGCUAAUACCGGAUAAUAUAUUGAACCGCAUGGUUCAAUAGUGAAAGACGGUUUUGCUGUCACUUAUAGAUGGAUCCGCGCCGCAUUAGCUAGUUGGUAAGGUAACGGCUUACCAAGGCAACGAUGCGUAGCCGAGCUGAGAGGGUGAUCGGCCACACUGGAACUGAGACACGGUCCAGACUCCUACGGGAGGCAGCAGUAGGGAAUCUUCCGCAAUGGGCGAAAGCCUGACGGAGCAACGCCGCGUGAGUGAUGAAGGUCUUCGGAUCGUAAAACUCUGUUAUUAGGGGAGAACAAAUGUGUAAGUAACUAUGCACGUCUUGACGGUACCUAAUCAGAAAGCCACGGCUAACUACGUGCCAGCAGCCGCCGUAA
rnacentral:rRNA from 1 species